GACACCCAAGUAGCACGGGGCCCGAGAAAUCCCGUGUGAAUCUGGCGGGACCACCCGCUAAGCCUAAAUAUUCCCUGGUGACCGAUAGCGGAUAGUACCGUGAGGGAAUGGUGAAAAGUACCGCGGGAGCGGAGUGAAAUAGUACCUGAAACCGUGUGCCUACAAGCCGUGGGAGCGUCGCUGUCAUCUUCGGAUGGCAGUCGUGACUGCGUGCCUUUUGAAGAAUGAGCCUGCGAGUUUGCGGUAUGUUGCGAGGUUAACCCGUGUGGGGAAGCCGUAGCGAAAGCGAGUCCGAAGAGGGCGACUGAGUAGCAUGCUCAAGACCCGAAGCGGAGUGAUCUAGCCAUGGGCAGGUUGAAGCGGAGGUAAGACUUCGUGGAGGACCGAACCCACCAGGGUUGAAAACCUGGGGGAUGACCUGUGGUUAGGGGUGAAAGGCCAAUCAAACUCCGUGAUAGCUGGUUCUCCCCGAAAUGCAUUUAGGUGCAGCGUCGUGUGUUUCUUGCCGGAGGUAGAGCACUGGAUAGGCGAUGGGCCCUACCGGGUUACUGACCUUAGCCAAACUCCGAAUGCCGGUAAGUGAGAGCGCGGCAGUGAGACUGUGGGGGAUAAGCUCCAUGGUCGAGAGGGAAACAGCCCAGAGCAUCGACUAAGGCCCCUAAGCGUGUGCUAAGUGGGAAAGGAUGUGGAGUCGCAGAGACAACCAGGAGGUUGGCUUAGAAGCAGCCACCCUUGAAAGAGUGCGUAAUAGCUCACUGGUCAAGUGAUUCCGCGCCGACAAUGUAGCGGGGCUCAAGCACACCGCCGAAGUCGUGUCAUUGCAGCAAUACUCCCAACGGAGGCUGUGAUGGGUAGGGGAGCGUCGUGUGCCGGGUGAAGCAGCCGUGGAAACGAGUUGUGGACGGUUCACGAGUGAGAAUGCAGGCAUGAGUAGCGAUUCACACGUGAGAAACGUGUGCGCCGAUUGACUAAGGGUUCCUGGGUCAAGCUGAUCUGCCCAGGGUAAGUCGGGACCUAAGGCGAGGCCGACAGGCGUAGUCGAUGGACAACCGGUUGAUAUUCCGGUACCCGCUUUGAAGCGCCCAAUAUCGAAUCCUCUGAUGCUAAGGCCGUGAAGCCGCCCUGGAUCCUUCGGGUGAAGGGGAGUGGUGGAGCCGCUGACCCAAGGUGGUAGUAGGUAAGUGAUGGGGUGACGCAGGAAGGUAGUCCAGCCCGGGCGGUGGUUGUCCCGGGGUAAGGGUGUAG
rnacentral:rRNA from 1 species